UUCCUCAUCAUCAAUCUUAUGAACUUCUUGUAACAAAUUGGACUAUUAUAGGUUUAGACCUUUUCAUAUCAAUAAAUAAGUCAAUCCUAUUGCUUAUUGAUUAUAUCAAUUAGAGUCUAUGAAGAUCCAUCUUGUAUUUUAUAUAUCUCUUUUUGAACCAUACAAGAUUGAAUAUUCCAAAAAAAAGAUAAUUUUUUUUAAUAAAAAUAGAUAUUAAUUAAGAAUUUGAGGUAAAAAUAAUCUUAGAUUCAAGGUGGUGCUAAAAUAGGUUAAAAUAUCUUAUUCAUUAGUGCAAAUAUAAUACUAGUAAAUGUACAUAGGAACCAAUAAAGAAUCUUUCAAAUGCAAUAAAAAAAAUUGAAGUUUUUCAUUGACAACAUCUAUCAAAAUCAAGAUGAAGAAUAGAAAAUCUUUGAUAUAAAAGAAACAAGAUUCAAAAAAUAUAGCA
rnacentral:lncRNA from 1 species